rnacentral:rRNA from 1 species
CCUACGGGGGGCAGCAGUGGGGAAUAUUGGACAAUGGGCGAAAGCCUGAUCCAGCCAUGCCGCGUGUGUGAAGAAGGCCUUCGGGUUGUAAAGCACUUUCAGUGGGGAAGGAAGCCUUGGGGCUAAUACCCUCGAGGAAGGACAUCACCCACAGAAGAAGCACCGGCUAACUCCGUGCCAGCAGCCGCGGUAAUACGGAGGGUGCGAGCGUUAAUCGGAAUUACUGGGCGUAAAGCGCGCGUAGGCGGUCUGAUAAGCCGGUUGUGAAAGCCCCGGGCUCAACCUGGGAACGGCAUCCGGAACUGUCAGGCUAGAGUGCAGGAGAGGAAGGUAGAAUUCCCGGUGUGGCGGUGAAAUGCGUAGAGAUCGGGAGGAAUACCAGUGGCGAAGGCGGCCUUCUGGACUGACACUGACGCUGAGGUGCGAAAGCGUGGGUAGCAAACAGGAUUAGAUACCCUAGUAGUC